GCGGCGGCGGCCGGUUUGUUCUGUCCGCGUCGGAGCGCAGGGCGCGGCGGUGCGGCGUGCCCGUCCGCACUAGCGCCGCUAGCAGGCAGCACUAGCGCCGACCAGGACGGGGCCGCCGCCGCCGCACGGCACGCACAGCUCGUGUCGCUUGCGCUAUUAAUACCCGUUCGUUCCUGGACUCGACGGCGACUGUCGAUCCUAUUGUCGUCUCACUGCGACUACUGUAUCGCUUAAAAAACAAUAAAUGCGACUCAUUGUUUUAUUUUCCAUUUCUGUGAUAUACUGUGAUUUUGUUGUUAUAAUAAAUUCAAUAUACCUAAUUAUUUCACGGGUAUGGAUGUUUUAUUGUGCAAAUGAACAGUAUAGUGUUUCGACUCCUCCGGGAAAAUGGAGGGUUUUGUAAUAAGUACAAUCAUCAGGCGGAGCCGGUCGUCAUCUAUCGAUUCACCGCAGCCAUGAGCAGGCCUGAGCCGGCUUGAGAAGGCGCGGACCAGGUCGUGAAGAGGAGAGUUUCUCUUCUCUGGAACAAGACAAGUUUGCCAGGUGGACACCAGAUUGGAACCAAGCUCCGACCGAUCGAGAGACGAAUUGAAAACUUCAUGUUUUUGUAUAUUAUCGAGUACUACGCGUCGCGACGCAAAUUUUUCGUUUGUUUUCAAACCGCAACCCUGAGCGGUCCACAACGAAGGUGCUAAGUACCUCUGGGCCACCUCCCGCGCCACCCCCCCCCCCGCGCCACCUGCUGCGAGGUAACGCACGGCGCCUGGAAAAGACUUCAACGGUCAACCGGCACCGCCACGCCGCGCCGUGACCUGCCCGCCGAUCUGCUACACCACGUCAACGGUAGAAUAAACUUUUAAACACGCGCAGGCAAACUAUAUCACGUAUUUAAAAAGAAAUAAACGAAAAGGUAGAUGAACGAUUAAAGCUCAACUGCCAAACUAAGAUUCCAUCGUGUCCCGCGAGCCGGACACACACGUACGACACAGGAGUCAGGACAAUAAUUUGAUACGUUCGGCCCCGAAUAACAAGGAGUAUAUGACCAUAUAUUAUAAAUACAUAAUUAUAUUGGCUUAGGUAGUCCGGGAAAUAAAGCCGCGUUCCGUAUCCAUUAACCACCAGCCAACGGAUGUUGUGUGUAUCGUAUGGCACGCGUCAGAGCGUGUGCUUGGCAUGUGCUUGGCGUGUACUUGACGUGUGCUUGACGUGUGCGCGCCAGCAUGUUGGUUGUGUGUUACAAGAUGGGUAAGGAGUUCAGAAGUAGAAUGUUAACGUCUUUAAUUGUAAGCAAGUUUCGUUCCCGAGACGCGUUGCGGCACUCUGUAGGUGCGCGGAGCCGCCGCCGCUGUUUGGACAGCUGCUUGCGAAGGUUACGUGUGCCGACUGGCGCCGAGCACCACCCAGUGCCCGAGCGUGCAUGUGAGUCUGUUCUAACUACAAUGAGUGGAGUCCAAGGGCGACCCUCGCUGCUACUGCCGCAACUCGUUCCCCUGCGAUCGUGCUAGUCAUUCGGUUCCACGCCCUCGUAACUGCCUUCGCGAUUUCCGUUCACUUCACUUGACUUUUGUCCGUAUGUGCGCGUCCGUAGAGCAUACAAUUGCAUGCGGAGACGCGCGGCUGUAAAAUACACGUAUUUGACAGUUUGAAUGGCUACGAAGCUCCGGUGGGACGAUUAUUAGCGUAUUAUUUUUAGAGAUGAUUGUAAUUGUUGUGUGCGUUCCGAGGUGUGUCUGUGGCGUGUCCCAUGUGUGUGUGCGCGCCAUCGACGCACUAUUAAUAUCUGCGGCCGCUCGGUGGUUGGGUGUCUCCCUGUCAGGCUGUCAGUGUCACUGCUCAGUGCUCAGUAGAACUCAGUGUUCGUAGUGGAUGACUGGGCGGUGGAGUGUCAUAUCGCUGUGCGGAUACAGGGUGACGUCGGACGCACAUUGUGCCGAUCGACAAUCGUCUCUCGACACCGUUACCGAUUGCACCGUUGAUUUCGCAUUACGCGCAGCUAUCUACCAAUACAAACAAGAGUGAAAAGCGUUUGCGUGUAGUCAAUUCCCAGAAUAAUGUUUAUAUGAGCAACAUUUGAAAGUAAUGAUUAGUUUCUUAAGGGUGGACCGACAGAGCCCUUCGUAAACAUGUAGCUGUUGUCCAUACAUUGUGUUGGCUGUGCCUAAGCUAAUAUGUGCGUUCCAUGUUAUUACUCGUAGAAGGCGAGACGACGCGUCCGCCGCCCCUCGCGCCCUCGCUCUGUCGCACUGUGGAUCAUUGACGGAGUAACGCUCGUUCACCAAUCAAAGCAAUACAUAAUCCUUGUCCGGCCGAGUUGGGACAUUUGUUUCAGUCCAGCUGCCGCUUUGGUGGUCGGCAUCGCUUACAUGCCGCAGCAGGCUCCUGGCGUGGUACCGUCAUCGAGCGGGUGGCGACCAGGUUGCACUCGGCUCGUCCCAACAAGCCUGGCUCUUCUAUAGCCUCAGUCACGCGAGUGAGUACCAAGCGAGAAGAGGCUACUAGGUGUUUGUGGAUCAUUUCAUUAAUCCAUUAAUGAAUUUAUAGUAAAAGGCGCUAGUAUUCACUUUACACAAGUACUUAUUUAUUAGUUGAAAAGUCGACGUAAAUUGUCUUGAAAGGUAAAAGUUCAAUCUAUGUAUUUAGUCCGGUGAUAUAAACAGAACUUGAACAAACUACUGACAAAGCAUGUUCCACUACGCGUGUACUGAGUACAGUGUAGGCGUGUGGUGACGAGCGCUGUGCCUACAUUAUUUGUGUGUUUUCACGAAUUGAACGUGCAGAGUGCGCACUGUACCCCGAUGACACCUGUGCUACAUGCGAGCGAGCGUAUGUUGAAACAAUGGUAUAUUAUUUGUUAAUUCGGCUCGUAACCUCGAUGGCGCCGACCCGCUCCUAGAGAGUGUCCAACCAGCCGCUGCCUACUGCCGACAACUCGACGAGCCUGUCUCCACCGAGCAUAAACAAUUACAUUAGCAUCCAACUUUCUGCUACACCUUGCUACUAACUCAGAUACCGGUCGCUACGACGUUCGAAACGUUUUUAUGCAAAUGCGGCCUCCAACUACCUACUCUUCAAAAAUAAUUGUUAUUUUUGGACUCGGUACGGACGAAGGGGGGUGCAGGAGAUCAGCGGGGCGCGGGGGUAGAGUUAAAGGUCAAGCGCAUGCACCUGCAGCCGGGCAAGGGCGGCUAUCAGCAGCCACUCUGUCACUCGGCCCCACGCGGCAUUCCGUCCAGUGCGUUGGACGUACAGUUAAUCAACAGGCGUGUCCUCUCGAUACAAUGUUGUCGACAACUCUCUCCUGGCAGUGGAAGUGUCUCAGCUCCGUGCGGCGCGCCCGUUCCGAACUAUGGAGAAUAUUGUAGUUUGCGUUGUUUGAAGCAAUAACAUAAUAUGUAGCACUUUUUAAAGAUGAAGCUCAAUCAAUAUUAUCUUUAUUGACCUUAAUGCAAAGGCUUAGGCGUUGCAUUAAGCGGUGAUGACCUACUACCGACUGAACACCCUUUUUUAUGGUAAACCUCACAAAUACCGAUCUUAUGGAACGAUGGCGUUUAUACAUACCGACUGCCGAUACUUUUUAAAAAGUGACCAUGAAGCGUAACCCGGACGUCGCGAACCGGAGACGUUAAAGCUACUUUUAUGGUUUAUUCUCGUGUUGAUUAUUUCCAUUAUAAUUACAUUAAAUCAACUUUUAAAAUAUUCGACACGGUUCUGGGUGCUUUGAUCGCUGUUUUGGUACGAACAUUAUUGUUGCCAUUGCGGAGAGUCAUUGAAGACGGUCAGAUCUUUUUAUUCCGAACUUCAGACUCCGGACUCAAAGUGGAUCACGACGCUCAUGUUGUAAGUUCUAUGGGUACACGGAGCCAACGCUCUACAUCUAACGAUCACAUACGUUUGUGUGUUCCCUUGUGUGUCCGCAGUGCUGACCCAUAUUUAAAUGUUAGGUUUAUUCUUAUUGUUGCGGGGGACAUACGAGAUGAGAACGGAGACACCAGGAUCCCGAAUAGCAAAUAUAUAUACUUAACAAAGACAGCGAGUCCGGCCGGUGUCGAACUCGAAUUCCGCAGUACACAGCCACGCCACUUACGCAUCGAUCUCCAAAGGUUUUGAAAUAAAUUGAAUAUGAAACGAUCAAUGAUCGCCCUGCUUCUAAAGUGUGUCUUUGAGGGUGUCAACUGCCACGGGACUAGUGCAUGAUCUAGUUGUAGAUAAGGGGUGGGGCGAGGUAUCGCGGGCGGCGACCCGCGGCUGUGCACUUGUCUCACUCACGACAUCACCUCGACAUCAUAUCGUUACUUAUCCAUUAUCAGCUCUUCGUUGUGUGCACUCCGCACCAUCAAAGGGUUGAGAUGUAGAAACUAUUAGAUAUAUCGAGAGAAGUGCUUUUGGUAAUAUGAUACGAAUUCCGGUUUUACUCUCAUAAUUGACAAUACCCAUAUACCUAAAUGUUUAUGGGUAUGUGAUCGGCUGCAAUGAAAGUGCUGAUAAGAGCGUAUUGGGGGCGUCGCGCGACCGUCGCGAGUGCAGCCGGGUGCCCAUGCAUGGGAAGCUGCGUCGGUAGGUGCGGCCGCGGGACCGCUGCACAGAUAUAGCCGCGCCAGUGUCACCGAUAAUGUCAAGUGAUUCGGUGUUAAUAGUGUCAGUGGCGCGGGUGUGUGCGCGCGCGGAGCGUGUGUGUGUGUCCAUUCGGCGGACGGCGGUCGCUGACCCCGGUGCUCGGCCGUGGGCGCUCGCGAUAAACGCGCACAUAUACUGCGUGCAUGUGUAGUGUAUGGGACGCCGUGAGCCGCCGCCGCGCCGGUAUCGGUCUUCGGUUAUGUCCGGUCCCGUUAGCUUUCUCGCUUUCAGAUCUCGUUCGAUAUUUCAUUCUUGUUUUAAAAACGUCGACCCGACGCCGAGACUGGACUCUCUCGUACCAACUAUACGAAUAGAGUUAAUAUCGUCAGAGCAACUAACCGUGCAAAGAUACCAAAUUAGCUUCACUAGCUCCAUUCCAGACGAGUUUCAUAACAAUAGAUGGUCACAAAUAGUUGUAUCAGCGCACGCCGAGCGCAGUUCGAGCUGUAUACCAAUAGUGGAUUUAGUUAGUGGAGGGCGCCCGUCACACCGUCACACCGUCACACCGUCGCGGCGUCGGUCGGGUCCAGGCAGUGCCACUAAACUAACAAGUUGUUGUUGGUGUUGGUGGUGGAGGUGGUGGAGGUGGUGGCGGUAGGAAAGUGAUUGCGGGGCGAACGUCAGCUCCAAGCCAAGAUUCCUUCAGUCGAGCCAGAAACUGUUGGCUUUGGAUGCUCUGACCUAACUGCGAAAGUUUAAUCUUUUUGUAUAAAUUUUCCUUAGGUUAACACAUGUCCUUUCUGGCCUUAAGUGUUUAUCAGAAGUCAGAGUCACUGCACAAGUGUGGAUGAUGAAGCAGUUGCUGCUGAGCCUGCGGAGACGCUCGGGCUCGGCCGGGGGGUCUACCUGACGACGUUGGGAAGGCUAGGAUGAAAACCCACUGGAAUUGAACAAUAAAUUAUAAGAUUAUAAACCUGUAAUGUAUGAUGGCUUUGUUAUGCAAAUGUCAUGUCAGGCAAAAAUGACUGAACUGAUGUGGAUGAAAUUUUGUACAAGUACAUAUAUUUUAAAAUUGGGAUAGGUAUCUAAUGAAUAGUUUUUGGUAAUAAAUGACAUGAACCGGCCAUCGCCGAGAGACUAGAGGUCCGCGCAACGUUAUUAGCGCCGGUGCCUUAUACGUUCCUGCUACGUUCCUGAUACGCUCCUGAUACGCUCCUGAUACGUAACCAACGGGUCUAUAAAUCAUUGCCAGUUUACGGACCAAACAGCUAUGACAAUCAAAUCUUCUCGAAAAUUGCGACAUGUUUCACGUUUUCAGAAUGAAUUAAGCGCGGCUGAAGCCACAGGACAUAUCCCGCGUGAACAACACGUGCCAAACUUAGUAAUGAUGUUGGUCUUAAUACCGGAACAGUCCACAUCAACCAAUGACCUUUGUCGUGCAUCAGCUAUACUAUACGACACGCCCGGAAUCGUAAAAUAAAGUAUACGCGAGAUCAAAUAAUGGUGGGCUUAAUGAAGAGCCAAGACGUUGCCGCGUUGUAGUGAAUUUGAUGAGUUAAUGCAAUAAACAUUUGUAACACAAUAUCGUUCUGCUGUGUGCCUGAACGGUUUUGUAAUUGAAUACAUAAUAUAUAUUAUUGUGUUCAGUUUUAAAGCAUAUUCAGAAAGAUUUUCACACCACUGUCUCGAAGUAAACAGGAAAUCACAUGCAAUAAUAAUUAUGAUAUGAAAUGAUUUACGAUCUAAUCAAGUGGUGUGUGAUAUUGUCUGUGUGUGCAGUUAUCGGUAACGUUCACAGUUUAUCGGCCAGAGUAGGUCCCCGCUCUGGAAACUGUUGCGAAUGUACCUACGAGUAGUAUUCCACAAUUACUUUUUGAAACGUAUAAAUAAAACCAGGCGUUAACUUUGUAUAGCAGUAGUUAUUAAUGUUUAUGAAAAGUUGUUAUUUGAAUUUAAAUGGAGUGAUAUUUUUAUUUGUGUCUAGUGCAUUCGACCUCACAAGCCACCACCACACCACCAGUGUUAAGCGUUUAUUAGGCCCCGGAACGUCGCCCGCACAUACAUACAAUCUGUUUUACAAUCGUCACACAAAGAACCUAAAGUAAAACACAUUAAGUUAAUAAUCAUAAAAUACUUCGUUACUAUUGAAAUUAUUCAGAGAGCGAGUUGCACCGCUGCACCGCUACACCGCUGCACCGCUACACCGCUGCACCGCUACACCGCUGCAUAGCUGCACCGCUACACCGCUACAUCGCGGAUCGCUUUGUUUGUUGACAAGUGGUGGUUCGGGCGCGCCCAGCAUUGAACACGAUCCAUAUCUAACGUAAUACACAUAAUACUUCAUCGCUUACUAUGUUAUUAUAUUAAGAACCAAUAGCUUUAGACAGCUUUCUCAUCUCAAUGCUGUCUUUAUACACAGAGCGUUUCUGUUUAACAAAAUGGCUUUUACGUGCUUCAUUUUGAAGGACCUCAGUUUUCGAGAAAUUCAGUUUAAGAGAACAUUCGAUAAUGAACAUAAAUCUUGUCUUUCGUCCGCAAGUGGAAUAACAAUCAGUGAGUGAUUGGUAAACUUUGUUGGGAUGUACGUACGGUCGGGGCGAGUGCAGCCCCCGCGUCGCGUCGCACGGAGCGUCGGCAGUACUCGGCAGCAGUCGGCAUAUGUCCGCUCCUCACUAGCGACAGUCGCGACGGACUACGGGCCAUGUUUUGGAUCCAAGAAGCACACAGCAGCCGACACUGGUUAACUAACGGGCACGUGCAGUAGUGUACACACGUGCGCCAGUUCUGCAGCCGACUUCAGCCGAGCCAGCGAUGGGACGACAUGAACUCGGUGUGACUAGAAAUACGAAAAAAAUUAUUGAACAUCUUUGGCGAAGUAAGCUUCAAAACCACUGACGCACGGAACUUUAUUUUUUUUGAGAAAUGUAUACUGAGAGGCAGAUUUAAGACGAGUUGUGGCUAUUGAUCAGCACAGUAUAUAUUAUUAGACUAGCUGACCCGGCAGACUUCGUGGUGCCUCAAUUGAUAAAUAAAAGACCUAAAUUUUUGUAUAAAAUAAACUUAAAAUAAACAAAAGAAAUACGUCAGAAGGGGAACACGUCAUGAGAGGAAAAACAAAAAUUUUAUUUUUUAUUUUAUUCCGACCAUUUUCAUAUUUAUCUACCUUUUAAACCUUCUCUGGACUUCCACAAAUAAUUCAAGACUAAAAUUAGCCAAAUCGGUCCAGCCGUUAUCGAGUUUUAGCGACACUAACGAACGGCAAUUCAUUUUUAUAUAUAUAGAUUAGAUCAGAUGAGACAGUAGAUAAUUUUUACAUUAACUUUGAAGUAUUCUAAUUUACAUAAAGCUGACAAUAACAAUAAAUAAGAUUGAAUACGUUGAGUAUAGAGCUGCUCGACUGGCAGACGGCGCACAGCACGGCGACUCUAUAAUAUGUAGUUGAGUGUGGGUGUGUAGAGUGUAGACACGAACGGUGGACUAGGUUUCGCAUUAUAACAUAAACAACAUCAUUAUAAAUAUAUAAACAGGUAAAGGUAAAACUGUUCAGUACCUUUUCUUCUUCUGUUUUUCACUCGAUUUAUUUUGGUUUGAUAGGUUGCAAUUGAAGAGCUUUAGUGUUAUCACUGUAACAAUAUUAGGAACACUCGUUCUUCACCAGCCUUUCGAGAAUAAAUUUUAAACACCAACUAAAAGAGAAAAUGUAAUACAUAAAAUAGUUUUUAUUUAUUAUUGUUACUAUUAUUGUUAUUGUGUACUGUAUCAAUAAGUAAAUUGAUUAGAUUGUACUUUUCUACCCACCUAUGUGAAGCUCACCUUCUUUUAGAACGGUUAGCUGGUAGAUAACUCAAUUGUUGAGUUAAGCUCGCCAUUUUUAUAACUUUUCGUAAUUAUUAUAUUGUUUUAACUGUGUGUACAAUAAAGAAUAAAGAAAAUGAAUCUAAGUCUUGAGGUGCCAGUAGUUAUGCUCGAAUGUCGAUCGUCAUGCGGGUCAUACCGGAUACAAUAUGCGCGCGCGGUGUUUUCGUAGUGAAAACAAAUAAGAAUGGUGAGAUAGCGGUUCAAGAAACAUAGGUCCGCUGAUUUCCCAAUAAGAAUGGAUGAGAUCCAAGAUCUUUCAGAACUACAGCGGGGCGAAUGAUAUGGUUGAGAAGUUAUGUAUUCACAAGGAGUUCCUUCUGAUACCGGAGUGGAGAUCGUUCGCGCCAGUAACUAUAGCAGGGUCUGAGUCGCUUGAUCGUUGAUUAUGUGGUGACGAGCUGCAAGCGGUCCACUUAAUGAUAAUCGGUCAUCACAAACUCCCCUUCACAGAAGUUUCAAUGACAAUUUAUUCAAGAGCACAUGCUAUGUAAUUUAGGUCUGACUUCUUUAUUUGUUUUUAUAUCUUGUCAAUAUUUAUUUUUCCGUUUUUUAUUUUCUUUCUUUUUUAUUGCCGUUAAUCUUUUUUAUUGAAGUAAAUUAAUCCGGCCCACCUGAUGGUAAGCGUUCACCAUGGCUUAUGGACGUUACCAAUGCCAGGGACAGAGCCAAGCCGCUUCCUAGCAUUGAGUACUCUCCGCAGGCCUCGUUUGAAUAAGAACAUGACAUAGCGCUCGAGAAACACCGUGGGAGGGAGUUAAUUCCAAAGCCAUAUGGUGCGUGGCAGAAAAGAUUUUUCGAAAUGCCCGGUCGAUGAACGCAGCGGUUCCUAAUAUGGAUGAACUCUGCUCCGGUGGCGGGCUGUUUGGAGUCAAAUGGAAGUAGCUGGUAUUUGAGAGCCCCGGCCAAGAGGUGGGAGCAGUACUACACGCGAGGCUGGACCUGUGUGUAGUCUUUGAAAAAUGUUAUGUCAUGACUUAUAUAGAAGAUAUAUUUAAAAAAGUGAUAUCUAAGCUGAGUCACAUCGGUCCAGUACCUACGGGUGCCAUGCGCGCGCGGCCGCUGCGCUGGACAACUGCCGGCUCCACUCAGUUCAGGUUCUGUUCCGCUGUUAUCAUUUUGUUUUAUAAAUAGACUUAUAGUAAAAUUGCAGGCGGUCCCCUAUAAAAAUAUACAGUUUAUUUUUAUCAGUACGUUCCAGUGUUUUGUGUUUUAAUGUUUACUUGGUACAUUGUAUAUUUGUCAUCGAUUUUUCCAAAAUAUUGCUGUAUGUUUGUAAUUAGUGGUGUAACCAUGUAGGUAUAAUCUGGUAUAACGGAAGUUAGGAGUUGUUUGUAUUAAAAGCCUUAGGUUUUUAAACUAUUAUAUUUUUCCUUUCUAUUAAAUUUGAUUUAAUUGUGACUUGCAUAUUCAGGCAUCAUUGAAAGAAAUACUGACAAUUUAAAUGAUAGCGAUAUGACAUAAACUGAAGAAACGGAUCGACCAAUUAUACAAAAUAACUGAGUACUAUAUAUUUGCGCAUAAACACAAUAAUAUGAAUGUGUAACCAGAUCGGUAAUCGAAAAUAUCUAUUUAAAGUAGCGCCUCGAUCACAAUCAGAUAAUGGGUUGCGGGACCUGUUCCUCUGUGAGAUGAGACAUGUAGUGGAGCUGGUGCUAAUUAACGUGGGGCAGUGGGCAGCAGGUGAGCGCGCCGGAUGCCGCGCCGAGACAGACGCGGGAACACUCAUAGCCACUAUUUUAAACCAGUAAAAUGCAACUGCUUCGUGUAAUUUGUCGAUGUGAAUAAUAUUUUAAAUUGUUAUGUUUUUGUUCGGUCACAUCCUGCGGUGCGGUGCGGUGCGGCCUGGAGCCUGUGACCAAGCGAGGAGCAGCGAUGUGAGCACUGUCGUCGCUCAGCACACCCGUUUGCAACGAACUGAUUUAUUGGUGUCUAUGUAUCCGAAAAUAAAAGAGCUCUGACACAAA